rnacentral:rRNA from 1 species
CGUAUGCAACUUGCCUAUCAGAGGGGGACGUACCGGCAAAGUCGGACUAAUACCGCAUGAAGCAGGGGUCCCGCAUGGGGAUAUUUGCUAAAGAUUCAUCGCUGAUAGAUAGGCAUGCGUUCCAUUAGGCAGUUGGCGGGGUAACGGCCCACCAAACCGACGAUGGAUAGGGGUUCUGAGAGGAAGGUCCCCCACAUUGGUACUGAGACACGGACCAA